rnacentral:rRNA from 1 species
GAUGAACGCUGGCGGCGUGCCUAAUACAUGCAAGUCGAACGAACGGACGAGAAGCUUGCUUCUCUGAUGUUAGCGGCGGACGGGUGAGUAACACGUGGAUAACCUACCGAUAAGACUGGGAUAACUUCGGGAAACCGGAGAUAAUACCGGAUGAUAUUUUGAACCCCAUGGUUCAAAAGUGAAAGACGGUCUUGCUGUCACGUAUAGAUGGAUCCGCGCUGCAUUAGCUAGUUGGUAAGGUAACGGCUUACCAAGGCAACGAUGCAUAGCCGACCUGAGAGGGUGAUCGGCCACACUGGAACUGAGACACGGUCCAGACUCCUACGGGAGGCAGCAGUAGGGAAUUUUCGGCAAUGGGCGCAAGCCUGACGGAGCAACGCCGCGUGAGUGAUGAAGGUCUUCGGAUCGUAAAACGCUGUUAUUAGGGAAGAACAUAUGUGUAAGUAACUGUGCACAUCUUGACGGUACCUAAACAGAAAGCCACGGCUAACUACGUG